UCAAGAAACUUCCACAAUGGGCGAAAGCCUGGUGGAGCGACGUCGCGUGAUGGACGAAGUGCUUCGGCACGUAAACAUCUUUUAUGUGGGAUGAAAUUAUUGACAGUACCACAUGAAUAAGGGGCUCCUAACUCUGUGCCAGCAGGAGCGGUAAUACAGAGGCCCCAAGCGUUAUCCGGAAUCACUGGGCGUAAAGGGUGUCGAGGCGGUUGUAUUAGUCGUUCGUAAAAUCUACGAGCUUAACUUGUAGGCGGCGAACGAAACGGUACGACUUGAGGUUUGGAGAGGUGCGUGGAACUCACGGUGUAGGGGUGAAAUCCGUUGAUAUCGUGGGGAACACCAAAGGCGAAGGCAGCGCACUGGCCAAAAUCUGACGCUCACACACGAAAGCUAGGGUAGCGAAGAGGAUUAGAUACCCCUGUAGUCCCUGAGCGGGCUGGCAAGGCGCAU
rnacentral:rRNA from 1 species